CGGCGUGCUUAACACAUGCAAGUCGAACGGGCUGAAGUGAUAGCUUGUUAUUAUGGAUGCUAGUGGCAAACGGGUGAGUAACGCGUAGGCAACCUGCCGUUGAGAUGGGGACAACAUCCCGAAAGGGGUGCUAAUACCGAAUGUUGUGGUGAGUCCGCAUGGAUUUACUACUAAAGAUGACCUCUAUUUAUAAGUUAUCGCUCAACGAUGGGCCUGCGUCUGAUUAGCUAGUUGGUGGGGCAACGGCCUACCAAGGCGACGAUCAGUAGCCGGUCUGAGAGGAUGAACGGCCACAUUGGAACUGAGACACGGUCCAGACUCCUACGGGAGGCAGCAGUGGGGAAUCUUCCGCAAUGGGCGAAAGCCUGACGGAGCAACGCCGCGUGAGUGAAGAAGGUCUUCGGAUCGUAAAGCUCUGUUGUCGGGGACGAAUGUUGAGACCUAGAACAUAGGUUUCAAAUGACGGUACCUGACGAGGAAGCCACGGCUAACUACGUG
rnacentral:rRNA from 1 species